rnacentral:rRNA from 1 species
AUUGAACGCUGGCGGCAGGCCUAACACAUGCAAGUCGAACGAGUGGCGGACGGGUGAGUAAUGUCUGGGAACUGCCUGCUGGAGGGGGAUAACUACUGGAAACGGUAGCUAAUAACGCCUACGAUUGGAUUGCCCAGGUGGGAUUAGCUAGUUGGUGAGGUAAUGGCUCACCAAGGCGACGAUCCCUCGCUGGUCUGAGAGGAUGAUCAGCCACACUGUAACUGAGACACGGGCCAGACUCCUACGGGAGGCAGCAGUGGGGAAUAUUGCACAAUGGGGGAAACCCUGAUGCAGCCAUGCCGCGUGUGUGAAGAAGGCCUUCGGGUUGUAAAGCACUUUCAGCGAGGAGGCGUUACUCGCAGAAGAAGCACCGGCUAACUCCGUGCCAGCAGCCGCGGUAAUAC